UGUCAUUGAAAGACACCGUUGAUAUCUUCUUCCCCCGCAGUCGCCUUCUUUACGCUGUUUCACAUGGUGCGGUGCGGAUGUCGUGGUGGUGAAGCAAACGACAGUUUAGAGGGAAGUCUACCGUCCUCGUCGUGAGGUGUAGUGGUUCGGAUAUCAUGACGUGCUGUGUGAUAGAAUGUGCAAGGGAAUGCGCGCUUGACUUGGGUUCAGUUCAGUUCUGACGAAGCAAAGAGCUGUCGUUGUGCCCUAUUUUGGAACACAGGCCGAGAUGAUACACAUUGUGAGACGAUACAUCGAAGCGACUAACAGAGGCGAAUCUUUGUGGACGGCGUAAAAUAUUGUGGACCUUGUGGCGGUAAAGCGGCGACGAGUACACAUGUAACACGAAACACUGUGGACUUCGUGCCGACAACAAAGCGAAACUAUCGAGAAGGCUAGGACGCGCUGUUUAGCGUUGUCUGUCCGCUACAAAGGGUACAGCCAGCCACUAGAUCAUCAUCAUCAUCAUUUUCAAAAAUACCGUCCCUCUCAGCAGCGUCGUCUGCAUCGCUGCAUCGUGAACCUUUUUAUUGCUUUUACCUGUUUGCUGAAAAGCGGCCUGGAAUCACCCUAAUGGCUGACAAAGACAUUGGUGGCACGAUUAUAUUGGACAGCUCUGACGACGAGCCCUCCGAAGACGAGGCGGGAAACGGUAGAGAGGACCCGGACUAUAUACCACUCACAAUGGGCAAGAAGAAGCUGACACGCAAUAAGGGUACCCGUUGUAAACAAACAAAAACACAAACGGUGAGCAGGAAGGUGGAUAUAGAUCCAAGUAAGAAGAAACGCAGCUCAGCUCCAGCUCGGAAAAGGGUGAAGCCUGUUGCGAUUAACAAAGAUGUGAGCACAAUUAUAUUGGAAAGCUCUGAUGAUGAGACGGUAAUAACUGAGGCAGGGAAAUCUGCUCCCAAUAUAGCACCCGUAAGUGCAAAGGACAUCAUACUAGACCAGACUCCAGCUCCCACCCAGAGUCAAGCACCCAAGGAUGUACGACAAAGACAGACAAAAGCAGAAACUGUACGUCGCAAAGUGGGAAAGAGGUCUCAUCCAACGAUGGAGAAAGAAGGCGUUGCAGCUCCAACUCGGAAAAAGAUUAAACAAAAGUCAGAAAGUGAUCAGCAAAGGUCUGAUGGGGCGUCCGAUGCUAUUGCAUCAGAUGUGUUGCCACCCUUGCAAGAGAAGAAAGAGAUUGUCGUACCUUCUUUACCGUGUACCUCAGGAACGGCUUCAACAAUGGACUCUGCACCUAAUGACAGCAUAAUCGACGUUGAUGCAGAGUGGGAAGCAAAAUAUGGGUGGAGAGUAGAAGAUGAAGUUGCUGCGGCUACCAACCAGAGGGCAGACGUAGUGCGUAAUGUAGUGAGACUCCUGGAGAAGGAAUGCACCAUUCCAUUUAUAGCACGUUACAGACGCGAAGACACAGGAGGUUUGAUGGCAGACAUCUUGCAGGAUAUCCAACAAACCCAUAACAACAUGCUUGCCGUCAAGAAGAAAGCCCUAGCGAUGAUAAAAUCCUUGGAAACUGGAAAAAAGGCAGAUGCUGAAACAAGGAAAAUGAUUUACAGUGCAAAAACGUUGGAUGAGCUGGAACACUUGUACGCUCCUUACAAAGAAGCAAAGGGUCGCUCACUUGCACAGAGAGCGAAAGCUUUAGGGCUUGAAGACGCAGCAAACAAGAUCCUGCACGGCGAAGCCACAGUGAUGUCGCUGCAGCUUGAAGAUCUAGUUAAGCACGGCACUAAAGGUUUGGAAAAUAUCCACGUUAUUCUUCUGGGUUUGCAGCAUAUCAUUGCUGAGUACAUAUCAAGGCAUCGUGACGUACUCGAUUACCUCUCGAACCUGUCAAAACAGAGAGGUAUCAUGAUAAGGGUUAAAAAAUCGGCUGCUGCAGUGAAGAAAGCCAAAGACUCUGCCGACGGCAAAUGUUCAGUUGAUGACAAAAAGUAUGAUAAUUAUGUUGAUCUGUUCAGGCCUGUGGACUCACUUCAGCCACACCAGGUUAUGGCAAUUAAUCGAGGAGAAUCACAGAAGAUUCUGACAGUAAAGAUUGAGUUGCCUGAGAGUUUUUCUUUCAUGAUAAACUCAUUUUGCAAAGAUAAAUUGAACCUCAGUAGUACACAGAGCAAGGAUGGUGACACAAGGAACCUGAUUGAUGCUGCUGUUGACGAUGCAUACAGUAGGCUUUUGGUGCCUUACAUUCAAAGACACGUGAGGUCCUCCUUGACGAAAGAAGCUGAGAAAGAAUCUGUGAACGUGUUUCGCUCAAAUCUUCGUCAGCUUUUGCUGACACCGCCAAUAAGAGGACACACUGUAAUGGGCAUUGACCCAGGAUUCAGACAUGGUUGCAAAAUUGCAGUGGUGUCGCCCUCUGGGGAUCUUCUGAGCACUGGUAUAGUGUUCCCACAUGGCGGUGAGGCUCAAGCAAGGUCAUCAGCCAACAAAAUCACUCAGCUUGCUAAGCAGCAUGGGUGCGAUCUGAUCGCGCUAGGUGAUGGGACUGCAAGCCGAGAAACGGAAAAGUUUUUGUCCAGCCUCAUAUCUCAGGGAGCAUUUCAGCCACUUGAAGUGGAGUAUUGCACUGUGAACGAAAGUGGUGUGUCCAUUUACUCUGUGACAAAAGAGGCCGAAGAGGAGCUCCCGGGUUUAGACCCCAAUUUACGAAGCGCUGUCGGAAUCGCGCGGCGACUUCAGGACCCAUUAUUGGAGUACGUCAAGGUGGAAGCCAAGCACCUAGGCGUCGGCAUGUACCAGCAUGAUAUUUCGCAAUGCACCUUGAAAAAUGCGUUAGAAGGAGUAGUGGUUGAGUGUGUAAGCUUUGUGGGUGUGGACGUCAACGUAUGUCCUGAAGCUGUUCUCAGGAAAGUGUCAGGGCUGAAUGCGUCCACUGCUAAGAAUAUUGUCGAGUGGCGUAGAACUCACGGGCCGUUUAAAAAUCGACAGCAGCUUCUCACUGUGAAGCGGUUAGGCGCAAAAGCCUAUGAGCAGUGUGCAGGCUUUGUAAAAAUUUACAAAGAGACAUCCCAGGCUCCGUGCAAUCCACCACCUGCAAAGAAGGCAAAGAUGGGGAUUCCGAACAGCUUCGAACCAUUCGACAUGACUAUAAUUCACCCGGAAUCAUACCAGUUUGCCGAGCUAUUUGUAACUCACCUGGGCCUUCAAAAAAGUGAUCUCGGAACGCCGGCGUUUACCCGUACUGUGAGGCGCGAAGUUGAAAGAAGAGGUGUUAACCACUUUGUAAACACUCUUGGUGGCAGCAUUGCCACUAUGCAGCUCAUCGCUGAAGCACUUCAGCAAAAAGUGGACGAGGACAUUCGAUCAGAGCACGACAAGCCGGUGUUUCGGAGGAGCAUUGCGCAGAUGAGCGACCUGUGUGUUGGUGAAGUGUAUACGGGACGAAUCAAAAACUGCACCAAUUUCGGAGCAUUUGUGGACAUAGGAGUUGGAAAAGAUGGCCUCAUUCAUGUAAGCCACAUGAACAGGUUGCAGCCAAAGUUAGGUGACCGCGUCACAGUCAAGAUCACUAAUCUGGACGUCAGCCGAGGACGUAUAGGUUUGCAGCUGAUCAGUUUAAAUGCACAGUAAGGAUGGGUGCAUGUCUUAGGUGAAGGUUCAUCUGCAUCAGAUUCCUUUAUGACGCGCACCCGCAGAAAUACGGAUCUCAAGCAUGUGGAAUUGCAACGUCAAGAUGUCUGUGAUAAUUGCAAAAUAACGAAACCACACGACGUCAUAUUUCUGCAGCAACUUAUCCUUCAGCUUUCAGCUUGAGCUGGUGUAACGGACCUGCUUGUGACGGACGCUUACGUGGGCGGCUUGAGCUACUACACUUAACGAAUUGUGAAGUAGCUAUUACAGCGAUUAUUAGGAGUUACUGUGAGUGACAUACCACAUCUCCUAGCGGCACCUGCUUUACCAACGCGCAUUUUGCUUAAAUACUGUAAAACCCUUUAUUUUCGCGAGCCCAUAAUUUUCGCGAAUUCCGGGUGCAGGUCGAGGCGUGUCAGUUUCAACAAUGGGGACCUUUGGGAAUCCGAUUUUUGUCUUCCGGUCACAACUCGCGAAAUUUAGGGGCCGCGGAAAUAGUGGGUCUUACAGUAUGUGAAAUGUUUGCGUGCACUUUUCUUCCUUUUGUCCCACUUCACCUUUAUCUAAUGAUUUCGAGGACACAUUAAGUAAACUCUCUUGCGUUGAGAGAUCUGCAGGAUAUUGUCGAGACUGUUUGAGUCUUGGUAGUAUCGAACUUCUAGUGUAUACCGGCACUUUGGUGCUAUUCCACGAUGGAUGUCAUGGAUCUUCGUGUUCCACUCCAACCUUCCGCGAAAAGACAUUCCAAAGGAGAGAAGAAUGUAUUCCUUGUACCGUUAAGAAAUUAGCUGUCAACCAGUUUGUCAGUUCCGUCGGUUCUCGAAAUAAAUAUAUGGUCUGUGGUCAUUAUAA